CAGUCGCCGCGGUAAAACGAAGGGGGCUAGCGUUGUUCGGAAUUACUGGGCGUAAAGCGCACGUAGGUGGAUUUUUAAGUCAGGGGUGAAAUCCCGAGGCUCAACCUCGGAACUGCCUUUGAUACUGGAGAUCUUGAGUUCGGAAGAGGUUGGUGGAACGGCUAGUGUAGAGGUGAAAUUCGUAGAUAUUAGCUAGAACACCAGUGGCGAAGGCGGCCAACUGGUCCGAUACUGACGCUGAGGUGCGAAAGCGUGGGGAGCAAACAGGAUUAGAUACCCGAGUAGUCCCUGUCUCUUAUAC
rnacentral:rRNA from 1 species